GUCUCGCGUCUGCGUCUGCGGAGCGAAGCUGCCUCCAGCCCGGCUGCCCCAAGGCUGACCCCGCAGCCCCUCUUGGGUUCUCCGCCUCCAGCGUUCACCCCUGCGCCCCUCACGCCCGUGUUUGCAGGGCACGGAGCCUGGGAUUCUCCGUGUCCACCAAGCCCUGGACCCGCCCGCGCGCAGAUGCUCUUAGAAGCCCACGCAGCCUCUCCAGGCCUCGGCAGGGACUCGUGGUGGCCACAUCCACGGAAGUGACGCUGGGAGCUGCAGGGCCCCGCGGGGUAGGAGGAAGGACCCCACAGCCUCACCCUCGAGCCCCUGAGCUGGGUGCUGGCCCCCACUCGGUUUCACUUGCUGCUCGGAGGUAGGAUGUGGGCCUUCACUCAUGCUGAACCCCUGAAAGAAAAAGACACAGAACAUUAAUAAAUUAGACUAGAGGAGAGCUGGAGAGCUGUGAACACGGGGUCUAAAGGGCCCCCAGCGAGGAGCUGGCCUCGCCCACUCCACUCCGCCCGGGGCUCAUCUGCUGCCUGAGGCCGCGGACCGGCCCCUAAAGCUGAAGGGGUUCUGCUGGGGGAGAGGAGGUGGCCAAGUGUGAAUGGCCGAGAGGCUCCUGCAAUCAGCUGGAUCCGGG
rnacentral:lncRNA from 1 species